CCUACGGGUGGCAGCAGUGAGGAAUAUUGGUCAAUGGACGAGAGUCUGAACCAGCCAAGUAGCGUGAAGGAUGACUGCCCUAUGGGUUGUAAACUUCUUUUAUAUGGGAAUAAAAUGUUCCACGUGUGGGAUUUUGUAUGUACCAUAUGAAUAAGGACCGGCUAACUCCGUGCCAGCAGCCGCGGUAAUACGGAGGAUCCGAGCGUUAUCCGGAUUUAUUGGGUUUAAAGGGAGCGUAGGUGGAUUGUUAAGUCAGUUGUGAAAGUUUGCGGCUCAACCGUAAAAUUGCAGUUGGAACUGGCAGUCUUGAGUACAGUAGAGGUGGGCGGAAUUCGUGGUGUAGCGGUGAAAUGCUUAGAUAUCACGAAGAACUCCGAUUGCGAAGGCAGUUCACUGGACUGCAACUGACACUGAGGCUCGAAAGUGUGGGUAUCAAACAGGAUUAGAUACCCGAGUAGUC
rnacentral:rRNA from 1 species